GUGAACCGGGGAGCUCUGCCUUUUCUUUUCCCAGCUCCGUGGAUUCCCCUCCUGUGCCCUCCAGGGACAGGAAAGCCAAUCAAGAAAGCCAAUCAAUCCUGGAAUUGAUUCGUUCCAAGACUGCAGAAGUCUGAGACUACUGCUAAACAUAACUCAUAUAUCAAGGCCAUGGCGGAGGUCGACAUGGAAAGGAGUGACUCUAUAGAUGAUCUUCUCAAGUAUGUCACUGGAGUGAACAACCUUGAAAACAGUUUCCUUCUACAGGAAAGAUGCAAUGAACAGCCCACUUCCUAGGGAGUCAGCAUCAAGAUGGCAGUCUGGCUACUGCUGCUCUUAUAAGUAACAGCUGUCUUUGGAAUCUCUUAACUCUGCUUGAAUUUACCCUGCCAGCUAACUUGUUACCUUGUAUGUAAUAGGGGAAAAAAAAUUACUCUCAGAGCCUUUCCAUAUCUCAUUCACUAUUCAAAGAAUUAAUCAGAAUUUGAAACUUUUAAAAGGCCUUACUAGAUAUUUUUGAGUAAUUCAAUAUCUCUGUAGAUUUAUAAGACAAAAUUUGGGAAGGAAAAAUAUGAAGAAUCAAAAGCUGUAUAGGAAGGAGUCAUGGCGGUUCAUGUCUGUAAUCCAGCACUCAGGAGAUGGAGGAAAGAGAGUUACCAUGCAUUUGAUGGCAGCUUGGGCAGAUAAUGAGUUCCAGGAUACAGGGUGAAAGCCUGUCUCAAACAAGACAAACAAAACCCCAAAUGCACAAACACAGUAUAUUCAGAGGACAACUAGAUCUUUUUUAAAAGGUUACCUUGUAUGAUAAAGUUUUCUUGAAUUUUUCACUAAAAUAGGAAACAAAAACAAUUAGUUAUUACUUUAAUGUAAAGAAUUAAAUAACCCAGAUUAUAAAUAAAAAUAUUCUCUGUAUCUGAAGAGUUUAAAAGGUUAUUCCAAAUGAGGAACUACUUAAAUUUGAGGGAAAUUUAAAAAGUGUUGAGGGAAAAAUAAAAGCAGAACACCAGAAUGUUAUCAAUUUAAAGAAUUUACUUCACAGACUGUUGAUACUGUUAAGAGAGCAGGUUUUGUUUCAUUUUGUUUUCCUGUGUGGCUCUAUUAUGAUUCAAGAGUGGCAAGGCCAAGGACCAGGAGGCAACCACCGCUGAAAAGACACUUUAUUCCUCCCAGCUCCCCAGGAAGGAGUGGCAUGCAGGGUGUUGUGGAGGUGCCAUGUCAUUCAUGGAGCAGAGGGAGUACGGUGACACGGGCAAGAGCCGUUAACUCCUUUUGUGGGAAGGGACAGGCAAAGCUGGCAAACAGACACAAGACUAAUUCGACUAAGGUUGAUGGCUAGAGCUGUCCCCGACUGCCUGGUACUGAGCUGGAGUAUCAGGGCAUAGAAAAAGCUGUGGAAGCAUAGGCUUGACAAAGAGGGUUGAUGCAGGUAGGGCUCUCCUCUGGUUGCUCUGGAUAUGUAAGUUGUAGACAAGUUGUUUAUUUGGAUGUCAAACAUCAGAAAAAAUUAACCAGAAACCAAAGCUGUAAUAAUUGUUAAAGGUAGCAUGAAUUUCAGAGUCCAUUAGAGUGCUGUAGCUCUCACUCUAUUAGCUCAUUAUAUACAGGCCUAUAUAUGAUGAUAAUAACUUCAUUAAUUUCAAUUAAAAUAAUUUAUGUUUUUACAUAUUUUAGAAACAACAGACUAUAAUUUACACCUCUACCUUUGGUAGUUUUCAUACCCAAAAAAAUAAAUGUUCUGAAUAGUCAGUUCCAAGGACACGGAAAAAAAGAUAAUAAAUCUACAAGGCUAUAAAAAAAAAAGGUGACAUGAAAUUGAGGUUUUUAAAUCAGUAAAACUAGGAUAUAAAUCUGAAUAGGUCAAAUUAACAUUCUUAUGCGUGUGCUAGACUUACAUAUUUCAUAAUGCAUUAUAGUAAAAUCACAUAUUUUAUCAGAUCUUAAUUGUUCAAGAGGCCUCAAUAUAUAUACAUUAGUAAAUUAUAUUUA